UGUAUGUAUGUCUAUGUAUCCUAUCUAUUUAUAUAAAAAAAAAAGCAUAUUUAUUAAUAUUUUAUCAGGUUUGGUAAAUUAAUUGUUGAAGUCGUAUUUAUCUUAUUUUCAGAAAGACCGUCCUAUUGGUUGUAUAUUA
rnacentral:rRNA from 1 species